rnacentral:rRNA from 1 species
AUGAAUAUCUUAAGCUGGAAUUGUCGGGGACUAGGCAACGCCCCGACAGUUCAAGAGCUGCGUGAAAUCGCAUUAAAGUUUGCCCCUAAAGUACUCUUCACUGUUGAGACUCAAAUCAGUAGAGAUAGAGCUGAAAAGUUAGCGAGUACUUUAGGUUUUGAUUGCUCUUUUGCUGUUGGUUCCACCGGUAGAAGUGGUGGUUUAGUUUUGUACUGGAAUAAUGAAAUAAAAAUUGAGAGUUUGGGCUACUUGCAGUACCAUAUCGAUGUGAAAAUUUCAGAACUUGGGGGUGACCCGUGGAGACUUUCUUAUAUCUAUGGGGAGGCCCAAACUCAUCUACGACACAGAACAUGGGACACAAUGAAGGACUUGGCAUCACUCCAUGUUAUGCCUUGGGUUUGCAUUGGAGACUUCAAUGAGGUACUGUGGUACGACGAGCAUGAUGGCAUUGGCCAGAGGAGCCAAAGACAAAUUCAAGGGUUUCGGGAUGCGGUUGAUGUAUGUGGUCUAGUUGAUCUUGGCUUUCAGGGCUGCAAGUGGACUUUUGACAAGAAAGUGGCAGGGGAUCUUUUACCAGAGUGA